rnacentral:rRNA from 1 species
AUUGAACGCUGGCGGCAGGCCUAACACAUGCAAGUCGAACGAGUGGCGGACGGGUGAGUAAUGUCUGGGAAACUGCCCGAUGGAGGGGGAUAACUACUGGAAACGGUAGCUAAUACCGCAUACCAUCGGAUGUGCCCAGAUGGGAUUAGCUUGUGGGUGGGGUAACGGCGCACCAAGGCGACGAACCCUAGCUGGUCUGAGAGGAUGACCAGGCACACUGGAACUGGAAAAAGGUCCAAACUCCUACGGGAGGGAGCAGUGGGGAAUAUUGCCCAAUGGGGGCAAGCCUGAUGCAGCCAUGCCGCGUGUAUGAAGAAGGCCUUCGGGUUGUAAAGUCCUUUCAGCGGGGAGGCGUUACCCGAAGAAGAAGCACCGGCUAACUCCGUGCCAGCAGCCGCGGUAAUAC